GGAGAGGUGCCAGAGUGGUUGAUUGGGCCUGUCUCGAAAACAGGUGUACGGAGUUUCCGUACCGUGGGUUCGAAUCCCACCCUCUCCG
rnacentral:tRNA from 1 species